rnacentral:misc_RNA from 1 species
CAUUACUGAACUGUCGACACGAGUUGUUGCUGGUCCUUGAAAGGGGUCACGUGCACGCUCUGUUUACACAUCCACUCACACCUGUGCACCCUUGUAGUUCUAUGGCCUGGGGACUCUGUCCUCUUGCCGUGGUCCUACGUUUUUACACACACACCGUAACAAAGUAUCAUGGAAUGUACGCCGCGUCUGACGCAAUACAAUACAACUUUCAGCAACGGAUCUCUUGGCUCUCGCAUCGAUGAAGAACGCAGCGAAAUGCGAUAAGUAAUGUGAAUUGCAGAAUUCAGUGAAUCAUCGAAUCUUUGAACGCACCUUGCGCCCUUUGGCUAUUCCGAAGGGCAUGCCUGUUUGAGUAUCAUGAACACCUCAACUCUCAUGGUUCGCCAUGAUGAGCUUGGACUUUGGGGGUCUUGCUGGCGUAACUGCCAGCUCCUCUCAAAUGAAUCAGCUUCCCAGUGUUUGGUGGCGUCACAGGUGUGAUAACUAUCUACGCUUGUGGUCGGUCCCUGAAAGGGGUUAAGGGGCCCGUUCGGUUACCCCUUCCAUUCCCCCUGGUCCACCUUGGAAUUUUUAGGCCUGGGGGAUUUGUUCUUCUGCCGGGGUUCUAAGGUUUUACCCCCCCCCCGGUACCAAGUUUCCAGGAAAGUUAGGCGGGUUUUAAGCCAUUCCAUUCCAAUUUUAGCAAAGGGUUUUUUGGGUUUUGGCUUGGAGAAGGAAGGAAGCAAAAUCGAAAAAUAAAGGGAAAUGCCGAAUUCCAGGAAUUCUUGGAUUUUUGGACGCCCCCUGGGCCCUUUGGGUAUUUCGAAGGGCCAGCCUGUUUGGGGAUUCAGGACCCCUUAAAUUUCCAGGUUUGCCCAGGUGGGGUUGGGAUUUGGGGGUUUUGGUGGGGGUAAUGCCCACUCCUUUCAAAAGGAUCAAGUUUCCCGGGGUUGGGGGGGGCCCCGGGGGGAAAACCAUUUAAGGCUGGGGGCCUUCCAUCAGGUUACCUUCAGUAAUGGAGGUUCACUGGAGCUCACAGACGUCUCUCCUCA